rnacentral:rRNA from 1 species
GACGAACCGUCCUAACGUUGUUCGGAAUCACUGGGCUUAAAGGGCGCGUAGGCGGCUUGCCAAGUCAGGGGUGAAAUCCUGCAGCUUAACUGUAGAAGGGCCUUUGAUACUGGCGAGCUCGAGGGAGGUAGGGGUAUGUGGAACUUCCGGUGGAGCGGUGAAAUGCGUUGAUAUCGGAAGGAACGCCGGCGGCGAAAGCGACGUACUGGACCUCUUCUGACGCUGAGGCGCGAAAGCUAGGGGAGCAAACGGG